ensembl:lncRNA
GUAAAGGGCCCCUCCUGGUCAGGCUGGCCGAGGCCUCCCACCGUUCCCACAGGGGCUGGAUGAGGAUUUCAGAACUGGCAAGCUGCACUUCUCUGGUGCCUCCUUGAAGCCGAAGCUGCUGGAGGAAGCCUCCUGGCCCAGGAGCUGCCUGGCUGGGCCCUGUUGGUGUAAUUAGGCUGCAUCUGUGGAGGGCGCCUGGACUUUCACCAGAGUUGCCAGUGCUUUUCGAGCCCUUGGGUGAUGGUGACCUUUUGGGGGGGCUACCUGGAUGCCUAGGAGGCCUCAGUUCCCACUUUGGAAGGGAGCUCUGGUUGGAUGAUGCCUGUUUCCUUACCUGUGAUCUGUCACUUCCUCUAUUUGGGUUGAGAACUGAGUGAGUGAAAGGACUCGGUUCCAAGUGAAUCAAGAGAAAAGGAUGUCAGUCGGCAGAUACAUGAAGGACAAUGCGGGGUUCAGGAUCAGGCACAAGUAUGCCCUGGCCUGGACCUCAGUGAUUGGACAUCCCUGGGAUACACCUGGUGCAUACCUGGAGCGUACCUUCCAGGCUUCCGGCCACUAGUCCAUCUUGAUCCUGCUCAACCAGUGUCAGAAGGACAACAGGCAUCUGAAUGGAAUCACUUUUCCUGCUGAAACACAAAAUUGGGAACACGCACGGGGUGCUCACUACAGGCCAGGCCUGAUCCUCAGCACUUCACACUCAUUAUGGACUCACAACCGCCAGUGCUGCUGGCCAAGAAUGGUGCUUCCUGCCCAUCCUGUGGGUGAGGUCAUGUGACUAGUUCUAACCAAAGAGCUGUGAGUGAAACUGACACAUAUUAUUCCCAUGCUAGAGCUUAGGGACCCCAUGGACUGCAGCCUACCAGGCUCCUCCAUCCAUGGGAUUUUCCAGGCAAGAGUACUGGAGUGGGGUGCCAUUGCCUUCUCCAAAUUGCCUGUGCAGGAACUUCCAAAGCUCUUAUUUCCUUCUGGUGUGACAGCCAGAAAUGUUCCAGAAUGUGAAUGCUCCACUAAUGACUAUGAUGUGCAAAGCCUCCCCUCAAUGACCCAAAAUAGACAUAAAA